rnacentral:rRNA from 1 species
GGUUAAGUGACUAAGCGUAUGUGGUGGAUGCCUUGGCAGUUAGAGGCGAUGAAGGACGUGUUAAUCUGCGAUAAGCGUUGGUAAGGUGAUAAAAACCAUUAUAGCCAACGAUUUCCGAAUGGGGAAACCCACCUGUCAUAAGGCAGGUAUCAUUAAGUGAAUACAUAGCUUAAUGAGGCGAACCGGGAGAACUGAAACAUCUAAGUACCCCGAGGAAAAGAAAUCAACCGAGAUUUCGUUAGUAGCGGCGAGCGAACGCGAAUCAGCCCUUAAGCUUAUUGGGCGCUAGUGGAAGGUUCUGGAAAGGACCACGAUACAGGGUGAUAGUCCCGUACACUAAAGCAACCUUUAAGUGAAAUCGAGUAGGACGGAGCACGUGAAACUUUGUCUGAAUAUGGGGGGACCAUCCUCCAAGGCUAAAUACUACUAACUGACCGAUAGUGAACCAGUACCGUGAGGGAAAGGCGAAAAGAACCCCUGUGAGGGGAGUGAAAUAGAACCUGAAACCGCAUACGUACAAGCAGUGGGAGCCAAAUUUAGUUUGGUGACUGCGUACCUUUUGUAUAAUGGGUCAGCGACUUAUAUUCUGUAGCAAGGUUAACCGAUUAGGGGAGCCGUAGCGAAAGCGAGUGUUAACUGCGCGUUUAGUUGCAGGGUAUAGACCCGAAACCCGGCGAUCUACCCAUGGGCAGGUUGAAGGUUGAGUAACAUCAACUGGAGGACCGAACACACGUAUGUUGAAAAAUGCGGUGAUGACUUGUGGGUCGGAGUGAAAGGCUAAUCAAGCCGGGAGAUAGUCGGGUUCUCCCCGAAAUCUAUUUAGGUAGAGCCUCGGAUGGACACCACUGGGGGUAGAGCACUGUUAAGGCUAGGGGGUCAUCCCGACUUACCAACCCUUUGCAAACUCCGAAUACCAGUGAGUGAUAUCCGGGAGACACACUGCGGGUGCUAACGUCCGUUGUGAAGAGGGAAACAACCCAGACCGCCGCCUAAGGUCCCAAAGUACUAGUUAAGUGGGAAACGAUGUGGAAAGGCAUAGACAGCUAGGAGGUUGGCUUAGAAGCAGCCACCCUUUAAAGAAAGCGUAAUAGCUCACUAGUCGAGUCGGUCUGCGCGGAAGAUGUAACGGGGCUAAACUAGUCACCGAAGCUGCGGAUUCAUAAUUUAUUAUGAGUGGUAGGGGAGCGUUGUGUAAGCCGUUGAAGGUGAAUUGAGAAGUUUCUUUGGAGGUAUCACAAGUGCGAAUGCUGACAUGAGUAACGAUAAGGGGAGUGAAAAACUCCCCCGCCGAAAGACCAAGGUUUCCUGUCCCAUGUUAAUCAGGGCAGGGUAAGUCGGCCCCUAAGGCGAGGCGGAAACGCGUAGUCGAUGGGAAACAGAUUAAUAUUUCUGUACUUCUAUAUAUUGCGAAGGAGGGACGGAGCAGGCUAGGUGAGCACAGUGUUGGUAAUCUGUGUGAAAGUGCGUAGGCGGGAGUUUAGGUAAAUCCGGACUCCCUUAAGGCUGAGACACGAGACGAGACUCCAAGGAGUUGAAGUCAUUGAUGCCAUACUUCCAGGAAAAGCUUCUAAGCUUCAGAUAUAUAGGAACCGUACCCCAAACCGACACAGGUGGUUAGGUAGAGAAUACUAAGGCGCUUGAGAGAACUCGGGUGAAGGAACUAGGCAAAAUAGUACCGUAACUUCGGGAGAAGGUACGCCCUCAAUGGUGAUGGAAUUUACUUCCUAAGCGAUGGAGGGUCGAAGUAACCAGGUGGCCGGAACUGUUUAUUAAAAACACAGCACUGUGCAAAAUCGAAAGAUGACGUAUACGGUGUGACGCCUGCCCGGUGCCGGAAGGUUAAUUGAUUGGGUUAGUUUUCGGACGAAGCUCAUGAUCGAAGCCCCGGUAAACGGCGGCCGUAACUAUAACGGUCCUAAGGUAGCGAAAUUCCUUGUCGGGUAAGUUCCGACCUGCACGAAUGGCGUAAUCAUGGCCACACUGUCUCCACCCGAGACUCAGUGAAAUUGAAUUUGCGGUUAAGAUGCCGUAUACCCGCGGCUAGACGGAAAGACCCCGUGAACCUUUACUAUAGCUUGACAGUGAACAUUGCUCCUACAUGUGUAGGAUAGGUGGGAGACUUUGAAACUUCGUCGCCAGAUGGAGUGGAGUCAACCUUGAAAUACCACCCUUGUAUGCGUGAUGUUCUAACCUAGGGCCCUGAUCGGGCUUGGGGACACUGUCUGGUGGGUAGUUUGACUGGGGCGGUCUCCUCCCAAAGAGUAACGGAGGAGCACGAAGGUUGGCUAAGUAUGGUCGGACAUCAUACGGUUAGUGCAAUGGCAUAAGCCGACUUAACUGCGAGACAGACACGUCGAGCAGGUACGAAAGUAGGUCAUAGUGAUCCGGUGGUUCUGUAUGGAAGGGCCAUCGCUCAACGGAUAAAAGGUACUCCGGGGAUAACAGGCUGAUACCGCCCAAGAGUUCAUAUCGACGGCGGUGUUUGGCACCUCGAUGUCGGCUCAUCACAUCCUGGGGCUGAAGUCGGUCCCAAGGGUAUGGCUGUUCGCCAUUUAAAGUGGUACGCGAGUCGGGUUUAGAACGUCGUGAGACAGUUCGGUCCCUAUCUGCCGUGGGCGUUUGAGAAUUGAAGAGGGCUGCUCCUAGUACGAGAGGACCGGAGUGGACGAACCACUGGUGUUCGGGUUGUCAUGCCAAUGGCAUUGCCCGGUAGCUACGUUCGGAACUGAUAACCGCUGAAAGCAUCUAAGCGGGAAGCAGGCUUUGAGAUGAGUUCUCACUGGAGCUUUAAGCUCCCUAAAGGGUCGUUGGAGACUACAACGUUGAUAGGUCAGGUGUGUAAGGGUUGUAAGGCCUUGAGCUAACUGAUACUAAUUACCCGUGAGGCUUAACCAU